AUUGAACGCUGGCGGCAGGCCUAACACAUGCAAGUCGAACGCGUGGCGGACGGGUGAGUCAUGUCUUGGAAACUGCCUGAUGGCGGGGUCUAACUCCUGGAAACGGUCGCUAAUCCCGCAUCCCAUCAGAUGUGCCCAGAGGGGAUUCGCUUGUUGGGGGGGUAACGGCUCACCAAGGCGACGAUCCCUAGCUGGUCUGAGAGGAUGACCAGCAACACUGGAACUGAGACACGGGCCAGACUCCUACGGGAGGCAGCAGUGGGGAAUAUUGCACAAUGGGCGCAAGCCUGAUGCAGCCAUGCCGCGUGUAUGAAGAAGGCCUUCGGGUUGUAAAGUACUUUCAGCGGGGAGGCGUUACCCGCAGAAGAAGCACCGGCUAACUCCGUGCCAGCAGCCGCGGUAAUAC
rnacentral:rRNA from 1 species